rnacentral:rRNA from 1 species
GAUGAUGGUUAAACCGUGUGCGUGUGAUACUCGGCAGGGGUUGCGUGUGCGGGGUUGUGGGGCUGUCCUGUUUUCUCUUCUGCCGGAGAGGGGGCGCGUGUGCUGAUCUGUAGCUGAAUCGUCUGGGAAGGCGUGGCGUAGUGGGUGAUACCCCCGUAGGCGGAACUGGUUGGUGCGUGUCUGGGACAGUGUUGCCCGAGUAGCACGGGGCUCGUGGAAUCCUGUGUGAAUCUGCCAAGACCACUUGGCUGCCUGAAUACCUCCUGAUGACCGAUAGUGGAUAGUACCGUGAGGGAAUGGUGAAAAGUACCCCGGGAGGGGAGUGAAAUAGUACCUGAAACCGGGCGCUUACAAGCCGUCAGAGCCUUCAUGCGCUUUUGGUGUGGGGGUGGUGGCGUGCCUUUUGAAGAAUGAGCCUGCGAGUCAGUGGCGUGUCGCGAGGUUAACCC